rnacentral:misc_RNA from 1 species
AUUUGAUUAGCUAUGUUGCAGCCUCCGUGGUACAACUAUCGUACCGAACCUGGUAUACCUGUAUAGCAAAAAAUUAAUUUUCUAAACUUUUUUGAAAUAUGAUAGGUAACAGACGAUUCUGUAUUUAUCACGAUACUUAGAUGUCAACGGUUAAAAUCCAUGGACACAAUAUUUUUCACUCAGCCCUUACCUUCUCCGCGUGGCAUUGACAAAACUCGGUGGU